CCUACGGGUGGCAGCAGUGAGGAAUAUUGGUCAAUGGCCGGAAGGCUGAACCAGCCAAGCCGCGUGAAGGACGAAGGUGCCAAGCAUUGUAAACUUCUUUUGUCAAGGGACAAAAUCAGGCUCGAGAGCCUGACCGAGGGUACUUGAAGAAAAAGCAUCGGCUAACUCCGUGCCAGCAGCCGCGGUAAUACGGAGGAUGCGAGCGUUAUCCGGAUUUAUUGGGUUUAAAGGGUGCGUAGGCGGGCUGUUAAGUCAGCGGUAAAAGCCCGGGGCUCAACCCCGGCGAGCCGUUGAAACUGGCUGUCGUGAGAUGUCGAGAGGUAUGCGGAAUGCGCAGUGUAGCGGUGAAAUGCUUAGAUAUUGCGCAGAACUCCGAUUGCGAAGGCAGCAUACCGGCGGCGAUCUGACGCUGAGGGACGAAAGCGUGGGUAUCGAACAGGAUUAGAUACCCGAGUAGUC
rnacentral:rRNA from 1 species